rnacentral:misc_RNA from 1 species
GGAUCAGAUUCAACGUGAAGGGUGGAUGUGACCUGAAUAUGCCCAUCCUGGUGUCCAGGGUAGCACCCAACAUGCCAGCAGACACUUGCUACCCCAAGCUCAGCGAGGGAGACCAGGUGUUGCUGAUUAAUGGAGUGGAUGUCAGUCGGAUGGUCCAGACCAUGUAGUCAGCCUUAUACGAGCUGCCAGGGACUUGCACAUGGGAGAGUUGGUCCUCACUGUCAGGCCUAAUGGUAUUGCUCACAUGUAUUACCCUAGGUC